rnacentral:rRNA from 1 species
GGGAAUAUUGGACAAUGGGCGAAAGCCUGAUCCAGCCAUGCCGCGUGUGUGAAGAAGGUCUUCGGAUUGUAAAGCACUUUAAGUUGGGAGGAAGGGCAGUAAGUUAAUACCUUGCUGUUUUGACGUUACCGACAGAAUAAGCACCGGCUAACUCUGUGCCCG